rnacentral:rRNA from 1 species
UACAGAGGGUGCGAGCGUUAAUCGGAAUUACUGGGCGUAAAGCGUGCGUAGGCGGUUUGUUAAGUCUGUCGUGAAAUCCCCAGGCUCAACCUGGGAACUGCGUCCGAUACUGGCAGGCUAGAGUUCGGUAGGGGAGACUGGAAUUCCUGGUGUAGCGGUGAAAUGCGCAGAUAUCAGGAGGAACACCGAUUGCGAAGGCAGCUCGCUGGGACGUAACUGACGACUGGAGACGCGAAAGCCGUGGGGAGCAAACAGG